ensembl:misc_RNA Metazoa_SRP Metazoan signal recognition particle RNA
GCUGGGUGUGGUGGUGGAUGCCUGUAAUCCCAGCUACUCGGGAGGCUGAAGCAGGAGGAUCGCUUGAGCCCAGGAGGUGGAGGUUGCAGUGAGCCGAGAUUAUGCCACUGCACUCCAGCCUGGGCAACAGAGUGAGACUCUGUCUCAA